rnacentral:rRNA from 3 species
UGAGCUUGAUCCUGGCUCAGGAUGAACGCUAGCGGCAGGCUUAACACAUGCAAGUCGAGGGGUAUUAGUUUUCGGACUAAGAGACCGGCGCACGGGUGCGUAACGCGUAUGCAAUCUACCUUUUACAGAGGGAUAGCCCAGAGAAAUUUGGAUUAAUACCUCAUAGUAUAAUGACUCGGCAUCGAGAUAUUAUUAAAGUCACAACGGUAAAAGAUGAGCAUGCGUCCCAUUAGCUAGUUGGUAAGGUAACGGCUUACCAAGGCUACGAUGGGUAGGGGUCCUGAGAGGGAGAUCCCCCACACUGGUACUGAGACACGGACCAGACUCCUACGGGAGGCAGCAGUGAGGAAUAUUGGACAAUGGGCGCAAGCCUGAUCCAGCCAUGCCGCGUGCAGGAUGACGGUCCUAUGGAUUGUAAACUGCUUUUAUACGAGAAGAAACACUGCUUCGUGAAGCAGCUGACGGUAUCG